UGGCUUCAAGACCUUGAAAUGAAGGGAGAAGUCAGUUCUGCUGUUACUAACAUCCACAUUUCCUGUGACCCUGCGUGGGAUAAGUGAUUUCCAGCCUGACUCCAAGGCAGAGAUGCGACAAAGAAGGAAGCACUAGAAGAACCACUGGCAGCCAUCUUAUGACUAAAAGGGAAGAAUCUGCCAAGAAUGAAUUCAACACUGAAGACGCAAGGUUGACAGGACAAAGAGAGAAACUGUAUCCUGGUUCUGUUUGCAGAGUUGCUGUCCCAUUAGAUGGGCAGAGAGUGUCCAGACCGAUUUGGC